rnacentral:rRNA from 1 species
AGCUCCAAUAGCGUAUAUUUAAGUUGCUGCAGUUAAAAAGCUCGUAGUUGGAUUUCGGAUGGGUACCGUCGGUCCGCCUCACGGUGUGCACUGGCGGCGCCCAUCUUGCUGUCGGGGACGGGCUCCUGGGCUUCACUGUCUGGGACUCGGAGUCGACGAGGUUACUUUGAGUAAAUUAGAGUGUUCAAAGCAGGCCUACGCUCUGAAUACAUUAGCAUGGAAUAACACGAUAGGACUCUGGCCUAUCUUGUUGGUCUGUAGGACCGGAGUAAUGAUUAAGAGGGACAGUCGGGGGCAUUCGUAUUUCAUUGUCAGAGGUGAAAUUCUUGGAUUUAUGAAAGACGAACUACUGCGAAAGCAUUUGCCAAGGAUGUUUUCAUUAAUCAAGAACGAAAGUUG